CAGAGGGUGCGAGCGUUAAUCGGAAUUACUGGGCGUAAAGCGCACGUAGGCGGCUUGGUAUGUCGGGUGUGAAAUCCCCGGGCUCAACCUGGGAACUGCAUCCGAAACUGCCCUGCUAGAGUAUGGGAGAGGGAAGUGGAAUUUCCGGUGUAGCGGUGAAAUGCGUAGAUAUCGGAAGGAACAUCAGUGGCGAAGGCGACUUCCUGGACCAAUACUGACGCUCAGGUGCGAAAGCGUGGGGAGCAAACAGGAUUAGAUACCCUGGUAGACCACGCCCUAAACGAUGACAACUGGAUGUCGGGAGGGUCUGCCUUCCGGUGUCGUAGCUAACGCGUUAAGUUGUCCGCCUGGGAAGUACGGCCGCAAGGUUG
rnacentral:rRNA from 1 species